AUUGAACGCUGGCGGCAUGCCUUACACAUGCAAGUCGAACGGUAACGCGGGGCAACCUGGCGACGAGUGGCGAACGGGUGAGUAAUGCAUCGGAACGUGCCCAGUAGUGGGGGAUAGCCCGGCGAAAGCCGGAUUAAUACCGCAUACGACCUAAGGGUGAAAGCGGGGGAUCGCAAGACCUCGCGCUAUUGGAGCGGCCGAUGUCGGAUUAGCUAGUUGGUGGGGUAAAGGCUCACCAAGGCAACGAUCCGUAGCUGGUCUGAGAGGACGACCAGCCACACUGGGACUGAGACACGGCCCAGACUCCUACGGGAGGCAGCAGUGGGGAAUUUUGGACAAUGGGCGCAAGCCUGAUCCAGCCAUGCCGCAUGCGGGAAGAAGGCCUUCGGGUUGUAAACCGCUUUUGUCAGGGAAGAAACGGUCUGCGUUAAUACCGCGGACUAAUGACGGUACCUGAAGAAUAAGCACCGGCUAACUACGUGCCAGCCGCCGCAGUAA
rnacentral:rRNA from 1 species